rnacentral:rRNA from 1 species
AAUAGAUACCCGGGUAGUCCACGCCGUAAACGAUGAGUGCUAAGUGUUAGAGGGUUUCCGCCCUUUAGUGCUGCAGCUAACGCAUUAAGCACUCCGCCUGGGGAGUACGGCCGCAAGGCUGAAACUCAAAGGAAUUGACGGGGGCCCGCACAAGCGGUGGAGCAUGUGGUUUAAUUCGAAGCAACGCGAAGAACCUUACCAGGUCUUGACAUCCUCUGCCAACCCUAGAGAUAGGGCGUUCCCCUUCGGGGGACAGAGUGACAGGUGGUGCAUGGUUGUCGUCAGCUCGUGUCGUGAGAUGUUGGGUUAAGUCCCGCAACGAGCGCAACCCUUGAUCUUAGUUGCCAGCAUUCAGUUGGGCACUCUAAGGUGACUGCCGGUGACAAACCGGAGGAAGGUGGGGAUGACGUCAAAUCAUCAUGCCCCUUAUGACCUGGGCUACACACGUGCUACAAUGGAUGGUACAAAGAGCUGCGAACCCGCGAGGGUAAGCGAAUCUCAUAAAGCCAUUCUCAGUUCGGAUUGU